rnacentral:rRNA from 1 species
CACGUAGGGCGCAAGCGUUGUCCGGAAUUAUUGGGCGUAAAGAGCUCGUAGGCGGUCUGUCGCGUCUGCUGUGAAAACUCGGGGCUUAACCCCGGGCCUGCAGUGGGUACGGGCAGACUAGAGUGCGGUAGGGGAGACUGGAAUUCCUGGUGUAGCGGUGAAAUGCGCAGAUAUCAGGAGGAACACCGGUGGCGAAGGCGGGUCUCUGGGCCGUAACUGACGCUGAGGAGCGAAAGCGUGGGGAGCGAACAGG